CCUGAUAAGGGAUAAUGUUUCACUGAACAUUAAAUAAUAUGUAUGUUGUGUGUGUCUAUCUGUCUGUGUGUCUGUCUGUGUGUCUGUGUGUGUGCGUGUGCGUGUGUGUGUGUGUGUGUGUAGCUGUCAGUGCAGGCUCAGCAGGAGCAGGCCCUUGGAGAGGAGAUGCAGAAACUGCAGAAGGAGGUGAGCUGUCUCCAGGGCAGCCUAAGUCAGAGAGAGGAGGACAUGGAGGCACAACUACAGACAACUGGCCAGCUACAGCAGGAGAGGGUCAGUCUGCUCACACAGCGGGACAACCAGCAGGGGGCAGUGUGUGUUCUGCGCGGGGAGCUGCAGCGGUGGCAGGCGGAGGUCCGGUCUCAGCAGGAGAGCAGUGAGGAGGUGUCGGGCCUGAGGGCUGAGCUACAGGAGACCCAGGGCAGGCUGCAGCAGUGUAGAGCAACCAUGAAGCACCUCCGCUCUGACCUGGAGCACGGCCAGAGACAGACCAGGCUGAGGGCUGUGCUACAGGAUGCUGAGAGCAGAGCAGUGGACACAGAGACAAGGCUGCAGACCCUGACCAGGUCCCUGGAGCUGUACAGGGUCAAGUACCAGGCCUGCCUCACCAAGAUCUCCCAGCAGGACAGCACUCUACAGGCCCAGGACGAGGACCUGAAGGAAGCCAGGGCUCAGGUCAGCUCCACGCCAUCUUCACCCUGCAGGAAAACUAAGAGCUGAUACUGGAGCUUUUUCUAGUUUUUCCAGAGCUUCUAUUUGCUAGAGGUUCUGUCUGCUAGAGCUUCUGUCUGCUAGAGGUUCUAUCUGCUAGAGGUUCUAUCUGCUAGAAGAUGUUUCUAAGAUAGUUGGCGUUAAAGUUACUUAAAUAAAUACAUUUAAUAAAUUCAUUAAAAAUCCUACAAUGUGAUUUUCUGGAUUGUUUUCCCUCAUUUUGUCUGUCAUAGUUGAAGUGUACCUAUGAUGAAAAUUACAGGCCUCUCUCAUCUUUUUAAGUGGGAGAACUUGCACAAUUGGUGGCUGACUAAAUACUUUUUUGCCCCACUGUAGGUAGGGAACAUUGAACACCAGCCUCCCGGGUGGCGCAGUGGUUAAGGGCGCUGUACUGCAGCGCCAGCUGUGCCAUCAGAGUCCCUGGGUUCGCGCCCAGGCUCUGUCGUAACCGGCCGCGACCGGGAGGUCCGUGGGGCGACGCACAAUUGGCCUAGUGUCGCCCGGGUUAGGGAGGGCUUGGUCGUUAGGGGUGUCCUUGUCUCAUCGCGCACCAGCGACUCCUGUGGCGGGCUGGGCGCAGUGCGCGCUAGCCAAGGUGGCCAGGUGUUUCCUCCGGCGCAUUGGUGCGGCUGGCUUCCGGGUUGGAUGCGCACUGUGUUAAGUAUCAGUGCGGCUUGGUUGGGUUGUGUAUCGGAGGACGCAUGACUUUCAACCUUCGUCUCUCCCGAGCCCGUACGGGAGUUGUAGCGAUGAGACAAGAUAGUAGCUACUAAACAAUUGGAUACCACGAAAUUGGGGAGAAAAAGGGGUAAAAUUCAAAAAAAAAAAAAGGGAACAUUGAACAGAACAAGGCUGUCAUUAACUCCAUUUAGACUAAAAUGCAGAUAGAACCUUCUAGCUCUCCAAUUGUUGUGUUUUUCAUCUCUGCUGCUUAUACCCUUGCUGCCAGGAGUUGCAUACAUCACUAGGCCUGAUUUAUGAGUGUUAAUAGCAUGCCUUUUUUAUGUAUAUGUGUGUUUGUGUGCCUGCCUGCGUGUCCCUGUGUGUCUGUGUCCCA
rnacentral:lncRNA from 1 species